rnacentral:rRNA from 1 species
AUUGAACGCUGGCGGCAUGCCUAACACAUGCAAGUCGAACGGCAGCACGGGAGCUUGCUCCUGGUGGCGAGUGGCGGACGGGUGAGUAAUGCAUAGGAAUCUGCCCAGUAGCGGGGGACAACUUGGGGAAACUCAAGCUAAUACCGCAUGCGCCCUACGGGGGAAAGCGGGGGACCUUCGGGCCUCGCACUAUUGGAUGAGCCUAUGUCAGAUUAGCUUGUUGGUGGGGUAACGGCCUACCAAGGCGACGAUCUGUAGCUGGUCUGAGAGGACGAUCAGCCACACUGGGACUGAGACACGGCCCAGACUCCUACGGGAGGCAGCAGUGGGGAAUAUUGCACAAUGGGCGAAAGCCUGAUGCAGCAAUGCCGCGUGUGUGAAGAAGGCCUGCGGGUUGUAAAGCACUUUCAGUAGGGAGGAAACAGUAGCCGGUUAAUAUCCGGUUGCCUUGACGUUACCUACAGAAGAAGCACCGGCUAACUCUGUCG